GCAAGUCGAACGGCAGCACGGGAGCAAUCCUGGUGGCGAGUGGCGAACGGGUGAGUAAUGUAUCGGAACGUGCCCAGUCGUGGGGGAUAACGCAGCGAAAGCUGUGCUAAUACCGCAUACGAUCUAUGGAUGAAAGCGGGGGAUCGCAAGACCUCGCGCGAUUGGAGCGGCCGAUAUCAGAUUAGGUAGUUGGUGGGGUAAAGGCCCACCAAGCCGACGAUCUGUAGCUGGUCUGAGAGGACGACCAGCCACACUGGAACUGAGACACGGUCCAGACUCCUACGGGAGGCAGCAGUGGGGAAUUUUGGACAAUGGGCGCAAGCCUGAUCCAGCAAUGCCGCGUGCAGGAUGAAGGCCUUCGGGUUGUAAACUGCUUUUGUACGGAGCGAAAAGGUUCUCUCUAAUACAGGGAGCUCAUGACGGUACCGUAAGAAUAAGCACCGGCUAACUACGUGCCAGCAGCCGCGGUAAUACGUAGGGUGCGAGCGUUAAUCGGAAUUACUGGGCGUAAAGCGUGCGCAGGCGGUUAUAUAAGACAGAUGUGAAAUCCCCGGGCUCAACCUGGGACCUGCAUUUGUGACUGUAUAGCUAGAGUACGGUAGAGGGGGAUGGAAUUCCGCGUGUAGCAGUGAAAUGCGUAGAUAUGCGGAGGAACACCGAUGGCGAAGGCAAUCCCCUGGACCUGUACUGACGCUCAUGCACGAAAGCGUGGGGAGCAAACAGGAUUAGAUACCCUGGUAGUCCACGCCCUAAACGAUGUCAACUGGUUGUUGGGUCUUCACUGACUCAGUAACGAAGCUAACGCGUGAAGUUGACCGCCUGGGGAGUACGGCCGCA
rnacentral:rRNA from 1 species